ACUCCUACGGGAGGCAGCAGUGGGGAAUAUUGCACAAUGGGCGCAAGCCUGAUGCAGCCAUGCCGCGUGUUGAAGAAGGCCUUCGGGUUGUAAAAGUACUUUCAGUCAGUGAGGAAGGGUGGAUAUGUUAAUAGCAUAUCAUUUGACGUUAGCAUGACAGAGAAGCACCGGCUAACUCCGUGCCAGCAGCCGCGGUAAUACGGAGGGUGCGAGCGUUAAUCGGAAUUACUGGGCGUAAAGCGCAUGCAGGUGGUUUGUUAAGUCAGAUGUGAAAGCCCGGGGCUCAACCUCGGAAUGC
rnacentral:rRNA from 1 species